rnacentral:rRNA from 1 species
AAAAGAGCUGUCCCUUUAAUAUAGGCGAAUUUGGUGAGCAAGUGCAAAUACUUGUAUAUUUAAAUUAGACGAGAAGACCCUUGAAGCUUUAGAAAAUUCUUUUGUUGGGGCGACAGAACUGCAUUAAACCAGUUUGCUAAUACCUGAAGGCUAGCAUGUGCGUUGAAGCUACUCGAGGGAUAACAGCAUAAUUUUUAAAAGUUUGUGACCUCGAUGUUGGA